ACGCUCGACACCUACUGGAGGCAGCAGUGGGGAAUAUUGCACAAUGGGGGAAACCCUGAUGCAGCAACGCCGCGUGAAGGAAGACGGUUUUCGGAUUGUAAACUUCUGUUCUUAGUGAAGAUAGUGACGGUAGCUAAGGAGCAAGCCACGGCUAACUACGUGCUAGCAGCCGCGGUAAUCUGAGCGGGCUGGCAAGGC
rnacentral:rRNA from 1 species